UUAGAAGUCACAAUUCAUUUUAUUUAUUUUAUUGGGGCAAUUGCUUAUAUACCCCUCAAACGUUUCUACUUUCUAAUUUACCCUUCUUACAAGGCUAAUAUUAAAAAUACUCUUUAUACGUUUCAACCUAUUUCAAAUAUACCCCUGGAGUUAAAAUUUGUUAAUGAACUAGAUCUAUUAUCUCUAUAAAAUUACUAUUUUGUCCUUUUCAAAUAUACAUUUUUACUAUGACUGACUUUUCUUAUUUAUCCUUAAGUUAGAGGCACAAAGAGUAUUUUAUUUUUUGGUCUUUAAUUUCAAAUAUAACCUUCUACCAUCACCGGCAUUUCUUAUUUGCCCUUAAGUUAAGGAUAAAAAUAAUAUUCUAAUUUUUUUUAACUAUAGUAAAUAUUUAACUCACGUUAAAUCCAAGUUAAUUUAACGGGUGGUAACUGUAGGAAUAUUUUGGAAUAACCAAGGAACAUAUGAGGGGUAUAUUGGAAAGAAAUAAAAAAUAGAGGUAAAUGAGAUAUUUUUGAAGUUUUAAGGGGGUAUAUAAGUAAUUAUCCCUAUUUUAUUUUAUAGAUGCUAUUUAUGUGUUUCAUCAUAUUAUUAUCUCGUUCAAAAUCCUAAAAAUUGAACACUCUUUUUUUAGAGAUAGGUAGCAGCUAUCCGCUUCAUUUAUUUGAUUAGCUGGAAAUAUAAAUCAAUCAGGAUUCGAACUCGAGAUCUCGGAUACCAACCACCAAGCCUUUUACCACUUGCUCUAGAGACAGUCAGUAAAAAAUAAAAUACUAUAAGUUCCUAUUAUGCUACUAUAUAUAUAUAUAUAGAGAGAGAGAGAGAGAGAGAGAGAGAGAGAGAGAGAAUCCCACUAUUAUACUCUUAUAAAUACAAUAAACUUUAUACUCAUAAGUCGUUUUCAAUAUUAAAGCUUUGGAAUUGACGAUUCAUACAGUUAAAUAUUAUCUAGAACAUUUAAAAUUUUUAAAAAUCAAAUUUCAUAAUUUUUUGAUAUUAUUUACCUUACAAUAAAAAGUUUUUAAAAUUGACAAUUUUUAACUGUGGUAUAGGAUACUUGCUAGUUUUACGGUAUACAAGAAUCGAAAUCGGUUGGAUUUUUGAUAGAAAAUUUUAUUCACUGUCAACAUAAGGAUCAAUAACUUCGAUUUUAAAUUGAAGGAUCCGAUCAUUUAUUUUUAGAAUAUCAUUCAAUUUUGAUCAUUAAUUUUAUGCCCGCUUGAUCGAUGGAUUUUAUUAUGGUUUCAACAAGUUACGAAAUUUAUUUUCUAAAAAUUUCAAAUACUCUAAAUCAUAUUUAGCAAUGUGGAUCGUUGAUUCGAAAACUUCACCAUCAAAAAUAAUUUAUGAUUAUCGACCGUCUCUAGCACAAGUAGCAAAAGGCUUGGUGGUUAGUACUCGAGGUUCCGUGUUCCAAUUCUAAUUAAUUCAUAUUUUCAGCUAAGUUUAUUUAUAAAUAAAAUAAACAACGCGGAUAGCAUGCUACUUAUCUCUAAAAAAAAAUUUAUUAUUACAAAAAAGUUUAUACUUAUACAAGUACAAUAGUCCUGCUCUCUCUCUCUCUAUAUAUUU
rnacentral:lncRNA from 1 species